rnacentral:rRNA from 1 species
UACGGAGGGUGCGAACGUUAAUCGGAAUCACUGGGCGUAAAGCGCGCGUAGGCGGUUUGUUAAGUGGGAUGUGAAAUCCCCGGGCUUAACCUGGGAAUUGCACUUCAAACUGGCCGACUAGAGUACGGUAGAGGGAGGUAGAAUUUCCGGUGUAGCGGUGAAAUGCGUAGAUAUCGUAAGGAAGACCAGUGGCGAAGGCGGGUCUCUGGACAGUUCCUGACGCUGAGGCACGAAGGUCAGGGGAGCAAACGGG